GACGAACGCUGGCGGCGUGCUUAACACAUGCAAGUCGAACGAAAAGGCCCUGCUUGCAGGGUACUCGAGUGGCGAACGGGUGAGUAACACGUGGGUUAUCUGCCCUGCACUUCGGGAUAAGCCUGGGAAACUGGGUCUAAUACCGGAUAGGAGCCAUUUUUAGUGUGAUGGUUGGAAAGUUUUUUCGGUGUAGGAUGAGCUCGCGGCCUAUCAGCUUGUUGGUGGGGUAAUGGCCUACCAAGGCGGCGACGGGUAGCCGGCCUGAGAGGGUGGACAGCCACAUUGGGACUGAGAUACGGCACAGACUCCGACGGGAGGCAGCAGUGGGGAAGAUUGCACAAUGGGCGCAAGCCGGAUGCAGCGACGCCGCGUGGGGGAUGACGGCCUUCGGGUUAUAAACUCCAUUCGCUAGGGACGAAGCUUUUUGUGACGGUACCUAGAUAAGAAGCACCGGCUAACUACGUG
rnacentral:rRNA from 1 species